rnacentral:rRNA from 1 species
GGGUUAGUAGGUUGGUCAUGCCUCUGGUAUGUACUGGUCUCACUGAUUCCUCCUUCCUGAUGAACCGUAAUGCCAUUAAUUUGGUGUCGCGGGGAAUUUGGACUGUUACUUUGAAAAAAAUUAGAGUGUUUUAAAGCAAGCUAACGCUUGAAUACAUUAGCAUGGAAUAAUGAAAUAGGACGUUCGAUCCUAUUUUGUUGGUUUUAGGAUCAACGUAAUGAU